AUGUGCUGUCAACCCGCUCCGUAGCCUGCGAAGCCCGCUGAGAGAAUUGGAGGGGCAGACGAGGUUAAUUUGUUUCACGCAUGGCUCGUUUUGCGUGUCAAGCCUAUCCAUAUCUUCUUUCACUAUGUGGUUGUAUAUCUGACUUUGUACACGCGUUUCAUAUUUCCUUUCUUUAUGACAUGUCCUCUUUAUUUUUUCGCUCCCCGUUUGAGUCAGCGUAAAAAAAGCGCAUGGCAGCUUCGUGCGUGACAGAAAGAUGGAUGACCGAGAUAUUUCCGCACGCAACUAUUGUUUUUCCCGAGGACCUGAGCCCUAGGACCAUGCCUCAGGACUACCUGGCCUGAUGACUCCUUGCUGUCCCCAUUCCACCUAGCCGUGCUGCUGCUCCAGUUUCAACUGUUCUGCCUGUGGCUAUGGAACCCUGACCUGUUUGCCGGACGUGCUACCUGUCACAGACCUGCUGUUUUCAACUCUCUAGAGACAGCAGGAGCGGUAGAGAUACUCUGAAUGAUCGGCUAUGAAAAGCCAACUGACAUUUGCUCCUGAGCUGCUAACCCGUUGCACCCUCGACAACCACUGUGAUUAUUAUUAUUUGACCCUGCUGGUCAUCUAUGAACAUUUGAACGUCUUGGCCAUGUUCUGUUAUUAUCUCCACCUGAAACAGCCAGAUGAGGACUGGCCACCCCUCAUAGCCUGGUUCCCCUCUAGGUUUCUUCCUAGGUUUUGGCCUUUCUAGGCAGUUUUGUCCUAGCCACCGUGCUUCUACACCUGCAUUGCUUGCUGUUUGUGGUUUUAUGCUGGGUUUCUGUACAGCACUUUGAGAUAUCAGCUGAUGUAAGAAGGGCUUUAUAAAUACAUUUGAAGUACUGCUCUAAUGGUUUACAGUACUCCAUAGAAUUGGUAAUAACAAGUGGUAAUAACCCAGUAAUAACAUGGUAAUAAAACACAGUAAUAACAUAGUAUAAACAGUAAUACCAUGUUAAUAAAUAAGUGUUGUGUGCUUUGGCAUUGCGUGUAUGAACAAUGGUGAUAUUGUCGCUCUCUCCUGACUGUUCAUGCAUGUUUUUAUUUUCCUGAGAGUUCAAAGAAGACACUUCCAAUCCUCUGGUAGCACAGACUGUUCUGUCUGUUCUGUCAGACUAGAAUAAAAUACUGAGAGAUGAGUGCACCAAUCUGACCUGUCACCUGAGUGGUUAAUUGCUCUAACUACCAGUCUGUGUACAGGGGUUAGUUGACCUCCUCCAUAACAAACUCCUGCCCUCAUGCACACACAACAACACGCCCUCACACAGAUGCAAACCCACUCACGAAAAAUUCCCUCACACUCACACACACAUACCUGGUUUGAAGGUGUGUGACAGGUGUUUGGUUAUUGCGUGCCAAAGGACUGAAGACUUCAGCUGCCUUUACAGUCAUUACUCAGAAAGGGAGAUUCUUCAAGGGAAUUUCAAUUUGCUGUGGGCUAAACAGUGUUUUAGUUAUGAUGUGAGCUCUGUAAAUGGACAUCCUGGAUGUAUGUGUGUGACCCUAACAUGACUAAAUAACAGACUACUUGAACAUUUCCUAUUGAUAUUUGUCACGUUAUUGUCCUCAAUUGCUGCCCUAUAUACAUAGACUUGGAAUCACUGGCCACUUUAAUAAUAGAACACUAGUCACUUUAAUAAUGUUUAAAUUAUGUUUACAUACUACUUUACUCAUCUCAUAUGUAUAUACUGUAUUAUAUUCUACUGUAUUUUAGUCAAUGCCACUCCAACAUUGCUUGAUCGAAUAUUUAUAUAUUUCUUAAUUCCAUUAUUUUACUUUUAGAUGUGUGUGUAUUGUUGUGAAUUGUUAGAUACUACUGCACUGUUGGAACUAGGAACACAAGCAUCUCGCUACAACCGCAAUAACAUAAAUAUGUGUAUGUGACCAAAAAUAUUUGAUUUGAAUGUAAUUCCAUGUAUGAACCUGCGUUGCAACUAGAGGUCAUACAAACUGUUGGAGGUCAUUGAGUAAGUCACUAAUGAUGAGCAGGGAGUGGCGUGUUAGAGCAUAACCAUAUGAACAGAGAAGCCUAUUUCAAACGGGUGUGAUCCUGAUGUUUACGUUGAAUGCUGGACCUGUAUGGAAUAAUGUCCCUCCCAUGGCCUCUCACGCUAUCGUCUCCCUCUCCUCUCACAAAGCUGUGCGUCAUGCUUAGUGUGAUUAUAUACUUUAUGUUUAUGCUUAAUAAAUCAGCCUUUGACUGUGUCAUGCUGUACCAGUGAA